UGAGGAAUAUUGCGCAAUGGGGGCAACCCUGACGCAGCGACGCCGCGUGAGUGAGGAAGGCCUUCGGGUCGUAAAGCUCUGUCAAGAGGAAAGAAGUGCAUAACGGUUAAUACCCGUUGUGUUUGACGGUACCUCUAAAGGAAGCACCGGCUAACUCCGUGCCAGCAGCCGCGGUAAUACGGAGGGUGCAAGCGUUGUUCGGAAUUGCUGGGCGUAAAGGGCGCGUAGGCGGCUUGGUAAGUCAGAGGUGAAAGCCCAUGGCUUAACUGUGGAAGUGCAUUUGAUACUGCCAAGCUUGAGUACCAGAGGGGAAAGUGGAAUUCCCGGUGUAGAGGUGAAAUGCGUAGAUAUCGGGAGGAAUACCGGUGGCGAAGGCGACUUUCUGGCUGAGUACUGACGCUGAGGCGCGAAAGCGUGGGGAGCAAACA
rnacentral:rRNA from 1 species